rnacentral:rRNA from 1 species
GACGAACGCUGGCGGCGUGCUUAACACAUGCAAGUCGAGCGGUAAGGCCCUUUCGGGGGUACACGAGCGGCGAACGGGUGAGUAACACGUGAGUGAUCUGCCCUGCACUUCGGGAUAAGCCUGGGAAACUGGGUCUAAUACCGGAUAUGACCACAGUCUGCAUGGCCUUUGGUGGAAAGGUUUACUGGUGCAGGAUGGGCCCGCGGCCUAUCAGCUUGUUGGUGGGGUAAUGGCCUACCAAGGCGACGACGGGUAGCCGACCUGAGAGGGUGACCGGCCACACUGGGACUGAGACACGGCCCAGACUCCUACGGGAGGCAGCAGUGGGGAAUAUUGCACAAUGGGCGAAAGCCUGAUGCAGCGACGCCGCGUGAGGGAUGACGGCCUUCGGGUUGUAAACCUCUUUCAGCAGGGACGAAGCGAAAGUGACGGUACCUGCAGAAGAAGCACCGGCCAACUACGUGCCAGCAGCCGCCGUAAUAC